rnacentral:rRNA from 1 species
UGCGUAGGUGGUGAGGUAAGUCGGAUGUGAAAUACUGGAGCUUAACUCCGGAACGGCAUUGGAAACUACCUUGCUGGAGGGUUGGAGGGGGGACUGGAAUUCUCGGUGUAGCAGUGAAAUGCGUAGAUAUCGAGAGGAACACCGGUGGCGAAGGCGAGUCCCUGGACAACACCUGACACUGAGGCACGAAAGCUAGGGGAGCAAACA